AGCCAUCAUUUAAAGAAAGCGUAAUAGCUCACUGGUCGAGUCGGCCUGCGCGGAAGAUGUAACGGGGCUAAACUGUGCACCGAAGCUGCGGCAGCGACACUAUGUGUUGUUGGGUAGGGGAGCGUUCUGUAAGCCUGCGAAGGUGGCCUGUGAGGGUUGCUGGAGGUAUCAGAAGUGCGAAUGCUGACAUAAGUAACGAUAAUGCGGGUGAAAAGCCCGCACGCCGGAAGACCAAGGGUUCCUGUCCAACGUUAAUCGGGGCAGGGUGAGUCGACCCCUAAGGCGAGGCCGAAAGGCGUAGUCGAUGGGAAACAGGUUA
rnacentral:rRNA from 1 species